rnacentral:rRNA from 1 species
UACGAAGGGGGCUAGCGUUGCUCGGAAUUACUGGGCGUAAAGCGCACGUAGGCGGCUCUUUAAGUCGGGGGUGAAAUCCUGGAGCUCAACUCCAGAACUGCCUUCGAUACUGUAGAGCUUGAGUUCGGGAGAGGUGAGUGGAACUGCGAGUGUAGAGGUGAAAUUCGUAGAUAUUCGCAAGAACACCAGUGGCGAAGGCGGCUGCCUGGGCCUUGAGCUGACGCUGAGGCGCGAAAGCGUGGGGAGCGAUCCGG